CCGAGAGUGGUGAAGUGGAAUACACAGGUGACUUAAAAUCACCCGCUUAAUUGCUCGAGGGUUCGAAUCCCUCCUCUCGGA
rnacentral:tRNA from 1 species